GACGAACGCUGGCGGCGUGCUUAACACAUGCAAGUCGAACGGUAAGGCCCUUCGGGGUACACGAGUGGCGAACGGGUGAGUAACACGUGGGUGAUCUGCCCUGCACUUCGGGAUAAGCCUGGGAAACUGGGUCUAAUACCGGAUAGGACCACUGCCUGCAUGGGUGGUGGUGGAAAGCUUUUGCGGUGUGGGAUGGGCCCGCGGCCUAUCAGCUUGUUGGUGGGGUGAUGGCCUACCAAGGCGACGACGGGUGGCCGGCCUGAGCGGGUGACCGGCCACACUGGGACUGAGAUACGGCCCAGACUCCGACGGGAGGCAGCAGUGGGGAAUAUUGCACAAUGGGCGCAAGCCUGAUGCAGCGACGCCGCGUGAGGGAUGACGGCCUUCGGGUUGUAAACCUCUUUCAGCACCGACGAAGCGCAAGUGACGGUAGGUGCAGAAGAAGGACCGGCCAACUACGUGCCAGCCGCCGCCGUAA
rnacentral:rRNA from 1 species